GCCAAAGAUGUGAUUAGGGCAAUUUUUUGGCCGACAAAGAUUUUUUUGCCCUAGAAAGCUAAUCAAUUAAUUCCGGCGUAAGUUUGUGCGAUAUAGACCCUUUCUCCGUCGAGCACCCUCUCUAUUUGUCUGUUGAGAAUGACCCACAAUUCAAAAAUGCAGUUCCUCAUAUUGAGUAGUUGCUUCAUAUUGGAAGAGACUUUGAAGAAUACUGCAUAGAUGCUUAAGUGUUCAUCAACUAGAUUAUGUAUCGAUGAGCUUGUAUUUCUGCGUAAUCUUGAAGCCUGUGAUGCGGAGGACUAGAAGGGUCUAGUAUAUUAUGCUUUGAGACAAGCGGUCAUCUGAUAUACAAAAGGCUCUCCAUGUAUAACGUUUAAAAGGCUCUCCAUGUUAGGAAUGCUGACCACCUCAAGAACUGGAGCAUCUACAAUAUGUCGAUCUUCUGUUAUUGGUCCAACUCAAAGAAACUAGUUCUUCCAUUAUAUCACAAAACCAUUGACGUCGGGCUUCAAAUUUGGGUCUACAGAAUUCAUUGCAUCUGUACCUUUAACAAGAAUCAUGGAUGUUGCUUUCGUUUGGGCUAUGGUUGAAUCUGGCAAUGAGCAUCAAACAUGCUUGGCGCGGUGCUGACAACUAGUAGUGGAUGUGCUCAUUCUUUGGAGCUCUUCUUUUUAGAUCUUUUAGAGUAUAAUUUUAGCCUUGUGAAGCUCCUCAAAUGUUGAUUCAGAUCUGCAAGAAGAUUGAGAUGUAAGUUAGUUGGCCUAUUAUUUUGGUGCAUAAAUGGAUAUUCAAGCUGGAACACCUGUGGAAGACUUUCAUUAUAGUGGAGGGCUGAAGAGAUACUUGUUAAACUUGAAAUGAAAUUGAAUUCAAAAAGUUUUUUUUUCUCUCUUAUGUUCACACUUUGAAACUAUGUAUUUGAAGUUUUUU